UACGGGGGGGGCAAGCGUUGUUCGGAAUUACUGGGCGUAAAGGGCUCGUAGGCGGCCAACUAAGUCGGAUGUGAAAUCCCCAGGCUCAACCUGGGAAUUGCGCGCGAAACGGGGGGGCUUGAGUUCGGGAGAGGAGCGUGGAAUUCCCAGUGUAGAGGUGAAAUUCGUAGAUAUUGGGAAGAACACCGGUGGCGAAGGCGGCGCUCUGGACCGAGACUGACGCUGAGGCGCGAAAGCGUGGGGAGCAAACAGG
rnacentral:rRNA from 1 species